GAAGAACGCAGCUAAUUGCGCGUCAGCAUGUGAACUGCAGGAUACAUGAACAUUGACAUUUCGAACGCAUAUUGCGGUCCUCGGAUACUGUUCCCGGACCACACCUGGCUGAGGGUCGU
rnacentral:rRNA from 1 species